AGUGAACGCUGGCGGUAGGCCUAACACAUGCAAGUCGAACGGCAGCACAGUAAGAGCUUGCUCUUACGGGUGGCGAGUGGCGGACGGGUGAGGAAUACAUCGGAAUCUACUUUUUCGUGGGGGAUAACGUAGGGAAACUUACGCUAAUACCGCAUACGACCUACGGGUGAAAGCAGGGGAUCUUCGGACCUUGCGCGAAUGAAUGAGCCGAUGUCGGAUUAGCUAGUUGGCGGGGUAAAGGCCCACCAAGGCGACGAUCCGUAGCUGGUCUGAGAGGAUGAUCAGCCACACUGGAACUGAGACACGGUCCAGACUCCUACGGGAGACAGCAGUGGGGAAUAUUGGACAAUGGGCGCAAGCCUGAUCCAGCCAUACCGCGUGGGUGAAGAAGGCCUUCGGGUUGUAAAGCCCUUUUGUUGGGAAAGAAAAGCAGCAGGUUAAUACCCCGCUGUUCUGACGGUACCCAAAGAAUAAGCACCGGCUAACUUCGUG
rnacentral:rRNA from 1 species